rnacentral:rRNA from 1 species
AUGUGAAUUGCAGAAUUCAGUGAAUCAUCGAAUCUUUGAACGCACAUUGCACCCGGUGGUAUUCCGCCGGGUAUGCCUGUUCGAGCGUCAUU